GACUACCGGGGUAUCUAAGCCUGUUUGCUCCCCACGCUUUCGCACCUCAGCGUCAGUAUCGAGCCAGGGGGCCGCCUUCGCCACCGGUGUUCCUCCAGAUCUCUACGCAUUUCACCGCUACACCUGGAAUUCCACCCCCCUCUCUCGUACUCCAGCUCAGCAGUAUCGAAUGCCAUUCCCAGGUUGAGCCCGGGGCUUUCACAUCCGACUUACCAAGCCGCCUACGCGCGCUUUACGCCCAGUAAUUCCGAUUAACGCUCGCACCUUCCGUAUUACCGCGGCUGCUGGCACGGAAUUAGCCGGUGCUUCUUCUGUGGGUAGCGUCAACUCCCCAGGAUAUUAGCCUGGAGUCUUUCCUCCCCACUGAAAGUGCUUUACAACCCGAAGGCCUUCUUCACACACGCGGCAUGGCUGCGUCAGGCUUUCGCCCAUUGCGCAAUAUUCCCCACUGCAGCCCCCCGUAGG
rnacentral:rRNA from 1 species